rnacentral:SRP_RNA from 1 species
CUGUGCUAGGCGGGGGGCUAGCGGUCCCCUGAAUCCGCAACCCGCUCAAGCGGAGCCGAAGGGUCAUCUGAGAGGCCUUCGUCUGGGAGAGCGCUCGGUGCGUGCGGCGUCGAAGGCUGAGCCCUCUACGGCGCAAACUCGUGAACCCCGCCAGGCCCGGAAGGGUGCAACGGUAAGCGGGCCCUGCGGGUGCUAGAGGAUUCCUUGGCCGGAGCUGGCUGCCCGAGAAGCACCCGGGGGAAGAUCCCGAAGUGAUCUGCACAG